rnacentral:rRNA from 1 species
AGAGUUUGAUCCUGGCUCAGAACGAACGCUGGCGGCAUGCCUAACACAUGCAAGUCGGACGAGACCUUCGGGUCUAGUGGCGCACGGGUGCGUAACGCGUGGGAAUCUGCCCUUAGGUACGGAAUAACUCAGGGAAACUUGUGCUAAUACCGUAUGAUGUCGCAAGACCAAAGAUUUAUCGCCUAGGGAUGAGCCCGCGUUGGAUUAGCUAGUUGGUGGGGUAAAGGCCUACCAAGGCUACGAUCCAUAGCUGGUCUGAGAGGAUGAUCAGCCACACUGGGACUGAGACACGGCCCAGACUCCUACGGGAGGCAGCAGUGGGGAAUAUUGGACAAUGGGCGAAAGCCUGAUCCAGCAAUGCCGCGUGAGUGAAGAAGGCCUUCGGGUUGUAAAGCUCUUUUACCCGGGAAGAUAAUGACUGUACCGGGAGAAUAAGCCCCGGCUAACUCCGUG